rnacentral:tRNA from 8 species
GGGCCGGUAGCUCAGUUUGGGAGAGCGCUGGCUUCGCAAGCCAGAGGCCGCGGGUUCAAAUCCCGCCCGGUCCACCA